rnacentral:rRNA from 1 species
GACGAACGCUGGCGGCGUGCUUAACACAUGCAAGUCGAACGGAAAGGCCCCUUUGGGGGUACUCGAGUGGCGAACGGGUGAGUAACACGUGAGUAACCUGCCCUUGACUUCGGGAUAACUUCAGGAAACUGGGGCUAAUACCGGAUAGGAAUCCUUGCUGCAUGGUGGGGGUUGGAAAGCUUCGGCGGUUUUGGAUGGACUCGCGGCUUAUCAGCUUGUUGGUGGGGUAGUGGCUUACCAAGGCUUUGACGGGUAGCCGGCCUGAGAGGGCGACCGGCCACAUUGGGACUGAGAGACGGCCCAGACUCCUACGGGAGGCAGCAGUGGGGAAUAUUGCACAAUGGGCGGAAGCCGGAUGCAGCAACGCCGCGUGCGGGAUGACGGCCUUCGGGUUGGAAACCGCUUUCAGCAGGGGCGAAGCUUGUGGUGACGGUACCUGCAGAAGAAGCACCGGCUAACUACGUG